AUUAUUAUGCAUAUAUGAUUCAGCGGGAGAGCAAUGGCUUCAGUGUUAAAGGUCAUGUGUUGAAGAGAGCAAACAUAGUUUUUCGGCUCUGGAAUGUAUAUUGAGUCCUUGAAUGAAGAGGAAAAUGCAUUUCUGAUUGACAAGUUGGCGUAAGUUCCGAAUUCCAGAGGGAAGGUGCUACUUUGCAGUAUCCAGGAGGAAGAGAGAGACUUAAGUUGGGAAGAAACAUGUUGCUAUAAUCAUCAAGCAAUUUAACUGAAUCUUGUACUUGUUCAGUUUCACUUUA
rnacentral:lncRNA from 1 species